rnacentral:rRNA from 1 species
AUUGAACGCUGGCGGCAGGCCUAACACAUGCAAGUCGAACGAGUGGCGGCCGGGUGAGAAAUGUCUGGGAAACUGCCCGAUGGAGGGGGAUAACUACUGGAAACGGUAGCUAAUACCGCAUACCAUCGGAUGUGCCCAGAUGGGAUUAGCGUGUAGGGGAGGUAAAGGCUCACCUCGGCGACGAUCCCUAGCUGGUCUGAGAGUAUGACCAGCCAGACUGGAACUGAGACACGUUCCAGACGCCGACGGGAGGCAGCAGUGGGGAAUAUUGGACAAUGGGCGAAAGCCUGCUCCAGACAUGCCGCGGGUGUGAAGAAGGUCUUCGGAUUGUAAAGCACUUUAAGUUGGGAGGCGUUACCAACAGAAUAAGCACCGGCUAACUUCGUGCCAGCCGCCGCGGUAAUUC